rnacentral:rRNA from 1 species
UGAUACGCGAGGAACCUUACCUGGGCUCGAACGUAAGAUGACUGUAGGUGAAAGCUUACAUCUCUUCGGAGCAGUUUUACGAGGUGCUGCAUGGUUGUCGUCAGCUCGUGCCGUGAGGUGUCGGGUUAAGUCCCAUAACGAGCGCAACCCCUACCUUUAGUUGCCAUCAGGUUAAGCUGGGGACUCUAAAGGAACUGCCUACGCAAGUAGUGAGGAAGGCGGGGAUGACGUCAAAUCAGCACGGCCCUUACGUCCAGGGCUACACACGUGCUACAAUGGCCGAUACAGAGGGCAGCUACCUGGUGACAGGAUGCAAAUCUCCAAAGUCGGUCUCAGUUCGGAUCGGAGUCUGCAACCCGACUCCGUGAAGUUGGAUUCGCUAGUAAUCGCGCAUCAGCCAUGGCGCGGUGAAUACGUUCCCGGGCCUU